UUUAGUUUAGUUUAAAAAAAACAAUAGCUUGUCAAGCUUUAAACACAAAAUAAUUUGUAACUAAAU
rnacentral:tRNA from 1 species